AAAUGAGUAUAUCUCAUUGUCAGGUAAUAUCUGCUAUAAGAAAAAAUGUGAAAAAUGUAUAUAUCUAAAAGUACAUUUUGCUGUAAAGCUUGAGAAGCGAGAGAAAAUUCCUAAGGGGAGAGGCUGGGAUAAAGAAUGAAAUGCUGGAAUCGCCAUUUGGGCUGAGGCUGGCAGUAAGGUGAGGAGGAGUGCCUGUGAGGCAGGAAGUGCUUUCGGGUUGAAGACUAUAAGGAAUAUGCUCGGAGUCAAAUCAAUGUCUGCAGCAACUCUGCCCACAGAGACUCUGGAAAUAAGUCAUUAAGCAAUCAUGCUAAACUAUAGCUAUAUUCUUUUAAAAGGACUGGUGGGUUAUUUUGGUUUGGGGAGCUCCAGCCCCCAUCUUUGUGGCGGCUGCUGAUGUGCUUGGGCGAUCUGCUGGCCCCCUGGCUUUCUAGAUUUGUGGUAUCAUUCUAACCUGGCUCCUGGAUGCUUUAAACCUGUGAGCAAUAUCUCAAGAAUCCAGACUGCCAGGAGAACAGAUUUGCCUAAAAGAUAAAGGAACCUCCAUCGCUGACCACGGGUAUCGUCCUGGCCCCAUGAGAGAGCUUGUCACAGGAAGUGUCAAGGAAAACAUGAAAUGCACAAGCACCACUGGAAUGCAGCAAUCUCACAGUACUGCCCCAUCCCCGCAAUGGAGAAGCAGAAGAUGCAAUGCAUGCCGUACAAGUGCCAGCUACAUCCUACUGACAAACUGGAAGAUGUACAAAGAAGAAAAAGCAAAGGGCCCAAAUGAUUCAAAGAAAUGAACAAGUUAAAAAGGUAGUUUGGGGGACGGAAGAGCAAAGGGAAAAAAAAACUUUAGCAUAAUCAAGAACUUCCUUGGAAUAAGUCGAAAAGCCUGCAGCAUUCAAUGCCAGGGAACUCCCUCCCCUGGAACAGAGAAUUGCUUUAGGGGGAAGCUCACAAGGCUGACCGCACCUGGGGAACAAUUGCCAAGGAGACAAACUUCUGUGACUUACACACAGCAGGUCACUCAUACACUGAUACACUCAUGACAUUCCCUUGGAGCACUUCACCCCACAGACAAGAACAAGGUUGACGUGUAUGAAGACAACCUGCACUCUGGAGACAUCAAUCAAAUUUGGAUAUCCCAGGCCUGGAAUAGCUUUGUACUCCACUCCAUCAUCUUAUGAUUUAAAAAUUACUUUUUGGGCUUGCUCCCAUUCUGAAACUCCUAUCUCUUUGCCAGAAUCCAGUAUCAACAAAAACCUAUUGG
rnacentral:lncRNA from 1 species